rnacentral:lncRNA from 1 species
ACAUCCCUUCACCCAUCACACGGAACAUCCCAUCACCCAUCACAUCUCACCCGUCACAUGGAACAUCCCUUCACCCAUCACAUGGAACAUCCCGUCAUCUGCUCACAUGGAACAUCCCAUCACCCAUCACACGGAACAUCCCAUCACCCAUCACACAGAACAUCUCACCCAUCACACGGAACAUCCCGUCACCCGCUGACACGGAACAUCUCACCCGUCACACGGAACAUCCCACACCCAUCACACGGAACAUCUCACCCAUCACACGGAACAUCCCGUCACCUGCUGACACGGAACAUCCCAUCACCCGUCACAUGGAACAUCCCAUCACCCAUCACACGGAACAUCUCACCUGUCACACGGAACAUCCCGUCACCCGCUGACACAGAACAUCUCACCCAUCACACGGAACAUCCCAUCACCCGCUGACACAGAACAUCUCACCCGUCACACGGAACAUCCCGUCACCUGUAACACGGAACAUCCCG